AGAUCAUUUUGUGGGCAAUUCCUUAUCAGGCCUUUGUAGCGCUCCCAUGCUUCGUACAACGACUCCCCCAAUUGUUGUUCAAAAUUGGUGAUGGCCUUUUUGAGCUU